rnacentral:lncRNA from 1 species
AGCCCUAGUUCUACUGAAAUCCUCCAACCAACUGCUAAGCACCCUGAUGAGCCUGUCGCUGCUUAUGAGUAUUAUGAUGCUGGCAAUCACUGGUGCAAAGACUGCAACACCAUCUGUGGGACCAUGUUUGACUUCUUCACCCAUAUGCACAAUAAGAAGCACACACAGGUAGGUAUCCUGACCACUGUUGUUUCUACUUUCACCCUCUUCCCCUCCAACCUCUGUGCUCCCAUCUGCAUUACGAAGCUGGAAAAGGAAACAUUCUCAAAAGGGCAGGAGCCCAGUCUGAAGAGCCAAGCGUUAACAACAAAGGAGAUGCCAUCCCUAGGGCUCAGUUCAGGGGACCUACUAUUACUAAACACCAUAUGAGUGUAAGUGAGGCUUCUCUCUCUUUUGAUUCCUUGAGUACCUGAAUUUUUAUUUAUCCUUUUCUAGCACUUGAGCUAACAUGUUUUUACCUUUUCCACAGGUGAUUCCGUUUAAACAGUUGGCAGAGUUGGUGGGUGGGGGUGGGUAGCUAAGAACUGCUGGUUCCCUGGUCUGAUAUUUAGGGAAGAAAA